rnacentral:rRNA from 1 species
AUUGAACGCUGGCGGCAGGCUUAACACAUGCAAGUCGAGCGGGGUGAUGGUGCUUGCACUAUCACUUAGCGGCGGACGGGUGAGUAAUGCUUAGGAAUCUGCCUAUUAGUGGGGGACAACAUCUCGAAAGGGAUGCUAAUACCGCAUACGUCCUACGGGAGAAAGCAGGGGAUCACUUGUGACCUUGCGCUAAUAGAUGAGCCUAAGUCGGAGUAGCUAGUGGGUGGGGUAAAGGCCUACCAAGGCGACGAUCGGUAGCGGGUCUGAGAGGAUGGUCGGCCAAACUGGGUCUGAGACACGGCCCAGACUCCUACGGGAGGCAGCAGUGGGGAAUAUUGGAAAAUGGGGCGAACCCUGAUCCAGCGAUGCCGCGUGUGUGAAGAAGGCCUUAUGGUUGUAAAGCACCUUAAGCGAGGAGGAGGCUCUUUUGGUUAAUACCCUAGAUGAGUGGACGUUACUCGCAGAAUAAGCGCCGGCUAUCUCUGUGCCAGCAGCCGCCGUAA